rnacentral:tRNA from 1 species
UGGGGGAUCGUUCAAUGGUAGGACAGCAGAUUCUGGCUCUGCAUAUCGGGGUUCGAAUCCCUGUCCCCCAGC